GUUUGAGUCCUCCCCAGUUAGCGACGUCUUUCCAGAAAAUCUCGACACUUUGUUAAAAAACCAGCUCGGUGUUCCUUUAGUCAAUAUAUGACGCGGGAAUUUCUUUUUUCUUCCCCAAAAUUGUUAUGAACCAAGACAGCAUAUCAGAUUUUUGUUUUGAGAAUAUUGUUAUGUUGAAUGUUAUGAAUUAUUUACUUAUUUAUUGUUUUUAUUUCUCUUUUUGAAAUGAACAAACUGUUUUUCAUGGAGAUCCAAAUCAUUUGUUAUUUCAUUAAGUCUAACUGUAAGAAAAAUGGUUGAGAGAGAGAGAGAGAGAGAGAGAGAGAGAGAGAGAGAGAGAGAGAGAGAGAGAGAGAGAGAGAGAGAGAGAGAGAGAGAGACUGUCUGAGCAUGACAUUUUUAGAUGAAUUUAGACCGCUUAAAAUGGCAGACAUACAUGUAUCAUUGAAAGUGCAAAAUUUUAUAUGAACUCUAGAUAAUAAGCCUUCUGUACAAGACAACAAUAAGUAACCUGUCAUAUUAUUAAUUACAUGUAUGUUUUGCAUUGGUUUUUGUUAUUGAACAGUUAUCGUUCUUGGAAACUGUGACUAACCUAGUUGCUGCACGUAGGCCUUCCUUUACAUUCUUAUUUUUUAAAAUGCAUUUUCUAUGUAUACACAAAAUAUUAUACAGAAACAGAGCUUCAAAUGUUGUCAUUUUUUCUCAUUUUUUAUUUCCAUUUUAGAAAUAAUAAUUUUUAUAUAAAAAAGACCCAAGAAACUAGAGCAUGUUGUCGGAUAUAUUCGUAUAUCAACCUGCAUUUUUCUGUCUACAUUUUACAAUAGCUUCUACGUAAUUCCUAUUUUCUAUAAUUUCGUGACUUGGAUUGUGGUUGCAUACGAAUGAAUUCAUGCGGACAUUACUCAUAAAUGUUCAUUUCAUUUGUUAUACAUGAAAAUCACAGACUAUUUGAAGGAAAUAAAACAAUUUGUUGAU
rnacentral:misc_RNA from 1 species